rnacentral:snRNA from 1 species
AUGCACACUUCGGCAGCACAUAUACUAUAAUUGGAACGAUACAGAGAAGAUGAGCAUGGCCCUUGCACAAGUAUGACAUGCAGAUUUGUGAAGCGUUCCAUAUUAAA